GAUGAACGCUGGCGGCGUGCCUAAUACAUGCAAGUCGAGCGAAAAGACGAGGAGCUUGCUCCUCUGACGUUAGCGGCGGACGUGUGAGUAACACGUGGAUAACCUACCUAUAAGACUGAGAUAACUUCGGGACACCGGAGCUUAUACCGGAUAAUAUAUUGCACCACAUGGUGCAAUAGUAAGAGACGGCUGUUGUGGCGGGUAUGGAUGGAUCCGGGCCGGAUGAGCUAGUUGGUGGGGGAUGGGCUUACGAAGGCUAUGAUGCGUAGCCGGCCUGAGAGGGGGAGCGGCCACAUGGGGACUGAGGUACGGACCAGACUCCUACGGGAGGCAGAAGUGGGGAAUAUUGCACAAUGGGCGGAAGCCUGAUGCAACAACGCCGGGUGCGGAAUGACGGCUGUCGGGUUGUAAACCGCUUUCGCCUGUGACGAAGCGUGCGUGACGGUAAUGGGUAAAGAAGAACCGGCUAACUACGUG
rnacentral:rRNA from 1 species